AUUCGUAAAAGCUAUGGAAUAUUUCACUGUAGGCCUGCCAGAAAUGUCGAUGGAAAUGUGAAUUGAAAGAAAGAGCUGUCUGAAGGUGACAGAAAGAUUGGAUGUGGCCCAGGUAAUCCACAGACUAAAAUAUAUGAAAAUUUAGUGACACAUAUGAAACGACUUCUGGAAAGAACUUUUACUCUGCUGAAAGGUGAUAUAAUUCAAGAGAUGCUGUAGUCUGCAAGAUGAACCCGUCUGAGCAAGAAACUCAUUUCAGAGAAGAGGUAGAAUAAAUUUUUCCCGAGUCAUCUCUCUGAGCCCAAACACUGUGCUAAGGGUUUUGGCCAGAACUACUCAACAUCUCUAUAGGAGCUUUGCUGGAUUGCAGCAUGCUGUGGUGUAGCUUUUUCCUGCCCUCUCAUGAAAAGAUCAUGGCACUUUUCAUGAAAACAUUCCUGCUCUGAAAACCAGUAUUUGCCAUCAUCCUUGUAAUAGCAUUUGUAUGGGAAAUCACAGCUUGAACCACUGAUUAAUUAGCUGAGGCAAGUGUUAGGUCAACUGCGGGAGCACAGGUGAGAGUAAUCUAUCUGUGCUCCCGGAAGGGGUGGACUUUGACUCCACCUCCUCUGAGACCUCAUUUAAGGGCUGACCACCACUGAGGCAGCAUCUCUUGGAGGUCACUCACCAGUGGAGACUGUCUCAGAUAUCAGGUCAAGGCAUUGACAUUAAUGAGUUUUCUUUACUAAUAACCUUUGACUAUUUAUCACCAUCUUGGUCAACAUCUUUAUAUUAGCCACCUUUACAGCACUGUUCUUGUUCCUGGAAAUGCCACAUCAGAAAAUGACACCCUUGUUCCUGAUGUGACCGGUGAAUCCAAUGGAAGAUCCCAUAGGAGGGCAGUGGAUUCCUUGGGUUGGAAUAGGCUACCAUCACUAUUUCCAGGAAGGUGUUAGAACUGGAAAACCAGAUGCUUCCACAGUACAACUUCUUGCUGUAGCUGUUCCAAACACAAGUAGCAUCCUCUCAUUCCAUUUCCAUCCUGAAACCCAGUUCUUUAUUAUCUUUGAGAGCAAAAGAGAAACUGAAGCAUCAAGUCCUUGCAGAAGAUACUAAUGUGUUGCUAGAAGAUCAGAUAAUUGCAGUACAGUUUACACUGAUAAGGUCAUUAAUCCUUGCUGUUCUUAGGUUCACAUACUUAAGACUUUUAAUCAGUAAUUUGAGUUAUGAAGAAGUGGGUGGCCAGUUAAUCUGUUAUUUGGCUUUUCACAAUUGAUUUCAUAAUAUGUUCUGGAUACAAAGGCAACUUCUCACUGCAGUGGAUGGAUUUUCUUUUGCUUAGGAUCACAUUAAAUUAUCCACUAAAAUAUCUAUGCAUGCAUAAGGAAACAAAAGAACUUAUUUGCUUGUAUUGUUUUGUUUUCCUCAAUAUAUGUGGAAUCUGUUGCUUGGUAGUUGCUACUUCUAAUCCAGUGGUGCAGUAUUUAUUGGCUUUUUACAUACCUCUGCACAGAAAGAUUACAAAACAAUUCACAGAAUCAUAGAAUCACAGAAUGGUUUGUGUUGGAAGGGACCUUUAAGACUACCUAGUUCCAACCCCUGCUGCAGGCAGAGACGCUUCCCUCUAGACCAGGUUGCUCACAGCCCCAUAUGUCCUGGUCUUGAAUGCCUCCAGGGAGGGGCAUCCACAGCCUAUAGGCAACCUGGGUCUCAUCACCCUCAGAAUAAAGAAUUUCUUCCUAAUAUCUAGCUUAAAUCU
rnacentral:lncRNA from 1 species